UACGUAGGGUGCAAGCGUUGUCCGGAAUUAUUGGGCGUAAAGGAGCUCGUGAGGCGGUUUUGUCGCGUCUGCUGUGAAAACCCGAGGCUCAACCUCGGGCCUGCAGUGGGUACGGGCAGACUAGAGUGCGGUAGGGGAGAUUGGAAUUCCUGGUGUAGCGGUGGAAUGCGCAGAUAUCAGGAGGAACACCAAUGGCGAAGGCGGGUCUCUGGGCAGUAACUGACGCUGAGGAGCGAAAGCGUGGGUAGCAAACAGG
rnacentral:rRNA from 1 species